AGUUUUUGCAAACUUCCAUGGCUGAUCUCUUCCAAGGAUUCCAAUUUCAAGUAAUUCAUGGUAGAUUCUGGUUCUCGAGAUCGACGAUUGCCGCUACAUGCUGCUGUGACGACAGUCGAGGUAGUGGUGGUUGGACCGCCGCUCAAAACCGCCGCUAAAACGACGGUCAAGACGUAGACCAACAUGGUGCUAUCCUUACCUGAGCUUUUACCCUUUUGUUCUCUUUUGUGUUUUUUUGACUUGUUGUCUUUUUUUUUUCCUUAGUGAUUCUGUUUUUUCUUGACCUUGUAAGACCUUUUCUUGACCUUGUAAGACCCGAUGACUUCUUUUCUCUUUUCGACUCUUGUCGUAUUUUGGACUGUGGUUUUUCCA